rnacentral:rRNA from 1 species
GACGAACGCUGGCGGUGUGCUUAACACAUGCAAGUCGUGCGACGAACCAGACUUCGGUCUGGGGCAAAGCGGCGAACGGGUGAGUAACACGUGGGUAAUCUGCCCCGAUGACUGGGACAACCCGAGGAAACUCGGGCUAAUACCGGAUGUGGUGCCUGGACUCAAGUCCGGUCACUAAAGGUAGCUUCGGCUUCCGCAUUGGGAGGGGCCCGCGGCCCAUUAGCUUGUUGGUGGGGUCAAGGCCUACCAAGGCAACGAUGGGUAGCUGGUCUGAGAGGACGAUCAGCCACACUGGGACUGAGACACGGCCCAGACUCCUACGGGAGGCAGCAGUGGGGAAUCUUGCGCAAUGCGCGAAAGCGUGACGCAGCAACACCGCGUGAGGGAAGACGGCCUUAGGGUUGUAAACCUCUUUCAGAUGGGACGAAGGUGAUGCGGUGAAUAGCCGAUGUCAUUGACGGUACCGUCAGAAGAAGCUCCGGCUAACUACGUG